rnacentral:lncRNA from 12 species
UAAAAAAUGGUCAUGCCUGCUCACCACCAUGCUUAAAGGUAUGCGGAGUAUAGGAAAGUAAAGAAACCUGAGACUUGCUGGUGGGAGAGGAUGAAUCUUAGCGGCCUCUUGGUGACUGAUACAAGACCUGGAUCUCAGCACUGUGAGCGAGACCAAGAUCAUGCAACUUCUGAAUAAAACUACAGAUGGGGAACAAAGAGAUGACAUAGACUAUUAUUCCAGAAAAAGUCACUGUCUCAUGAGAGAAACAAGGUCUUCCCAAACUUUGCUGGUGACAGAAGGCAAGGAAAGGUGAUGAGACAUCAUGCAGAUGUUUACAGAGAUUUAAGAUUUAUGUGUGAAGACUGUUCAACCCUGAAGAUGCAGUGUUUUCUGUAAGGAAGAAACUGACAGGUCUGUGAGAAACAACCUUUUCAAUUCCCCUUCCUGUCAGUGUAAUUCUUCAGACCUGAGAGUGAACUGCAAAUUACACACCUGCAGUUCUUGGGUGGUACAGUACUCAGUGCAAUGGACUGGGCUAUUUUUUCCUAUGUGAUUUUUUUUUUUGUUAGAAGUAACAUGACCAAGUCUAUGGACUGAUACAGAAAGAUAAAGUAACCAUGUACAUGACAUACCAUGUACAUGUAUAACAGAGUCCUGGAAUAGAACAUUUAAAUAUUUUGGUGUUGAGAUAUUACAGUGUUUGUGUGGGUUAAUUUAAUGUUUUGUGUCUAUAUGUUUGAGAUUGGUGGCACAGCCAGGGCCUCUGGUACUGACCUAGAAGAAUAGUCAGCAUGAAAUUUCAAAUAUCAGGCAUUACAGCUGAGGGAUAUUUAUGACUUUUCUCGUCUGAAGGCAUUAAAGGCAUUGAAGGAACAAUUUGUGUAUAGACUUCAAAUAAAAGAUAAUACAAGAAAAGGCUAUUUUACUUUCUAUAAGCAUGGGGGGAGGC